GAUGAACGCUGGCGGCGUGCCUAAUACAUGCAAGUCGAGCGAACGGACGAGAAGCUUGCUUUUCUGAUGUUAGCGGCGGACGGGUGAGUAACACGUGGAUAACCUACCUAUAAGACUGGGAUAACUUCGGGAAACCGGAGCUAAUACCGGAUAAUAUUUUGAACCGCAUGGUUCAAAAGUGAAAGACGGUCUUGCUGUCACUUAUAGAUGGAUCCGCGCUGCAUUAGCUAGUUGGUAAGGUAACGGCUUACCAAGGCAACGAUGCAUAGCCGACCUGAGAGGGGGAUCGGCCACACUGGAACUGAGACACGGUCCAGACUCCUACGGGAGGCAGAAGUAGGGAAUCUUCCGCAAUGGGCGAAAGCCUGACGGAGCAACGCCGCGUGAGUGAUGAAGGUCUUCGGAUCGUAAAACUCUGUUAUUAGGGAAGAACAGAUGUGUAAGUAACUGUGCACAUCUUGACGGUACCUAAUCAGAAAGCCACGGCUAACUACGUG
rnacentral:rRNA from 1 species